rnacentral:sRNA from 1 species
UACUUUUAAAAGAGGAAAUCAUACUUGUCUCUUCCGGUCCGUUAGGGAAGGUAUGAGGUCUGAUUGGUAACCAAAAGCUGUACAAAUUUUUAAGUUGUUAGCUGGAGCUGUUAGCUUUAUCGGAAUAGUGCAAAACUGUUAAAAAGAGCUAUACAAAGAAGCUGUACUAAAAAUCUGAGAGUAAAACUUUUUGUAACGCUUUUGAUAAAUGUUUUAUGAUUGAUAACUGUCAAAGUUGUACAAAGCUAUACUGUUAUUAUUAUGGUUAGCAUUCAAACCCAUGAAUCUUGCAUGCAUCUAAACAAUUGGUAUAGUUAUAGAAUA